AUCUAUGUAAAUAGGGAAGGGUGGAGGGGGUGAAGGGAGGACAGGGAAUGGGGAAAAAAUAAGAACCAAGAUACAUCAUGUACAGGUACAAGCACCCAGUGAUAAAUGUAAACGUACUGUUUACCUAAAAUGUGCCAAUAAAAGAAUUUAAGGAAAAAAAAAAAAAAGAAGGCCACAGGGAGAGCGAGACAGGCCAGGCCUCUGUUCCUGGGGGCCCACCCUGCCACAGAGACAGGCGGUAGGAGACUGGCAGCGCAACAGGACGUGCCGUCUCAGGCAGGGAGGACUGGGCAGGGACGUCAGAGGGAGCGUGUGACCCGAGAUGGGGCUGCCUGGGGUUGGGAGCAGGGGAGGCAGUCUCUGAGGCGGGGCAUUUCCACAGUCCUGAGGAGAGGGGGAGCAUGCGGGGCAGGGCACAGGCCCAUCCCUGACUCUGGCAGUGUCUGUGUCCCCACAGUACCAGCCUAGGGGAGCUGGUUCCCAGAGCCCAGUGAGGUCACAGCUGAGAUGAUCGAGACUGAGUGUUUCAAGGACGUGAAUGACCGUGAAAAUGAGCGUCUGGAGGAGAAGUUACAUGCCCCACCUCCAAGGCCGAAGAGGAACCUCUUCUACAAGUUCUUCAGAAGAAUGUACACAGAACACACCUUACAUGUGCAGCAAGUCCUGUUCGGAACCUCCCUGGGCUGGAGCAAUGGUGUUGGCACCAGGAGAAGCUGCAGGUGGUGGAAGGAGCAGCUCUGUGGUGCAAGGCCAGCGAGCCCAUCCCUCUGUCGGCAGCCAGCGCCAUGUGCGUCUGAGCUUCGUGCAGCAGAAUGGGAGGAGGGCUGCCUGAGGACCAGCUGCUGAGAGGAAGAGAGCCCACAGGACGCUGACCGUCACCUUGCAAACCUUGGAGCCUGCCCAGUGCCGAGGCAGAGCCGUGCCCGGUGUCCUAAUAAAUGCAGCCUGCAACUUGGUGGAAAGCGUGCCUCUGUGAUUCUUCUACCUCAGUCCUGCAUUGUCUCUUCACUAACACGGGCCUGAAGCAAAGGCCCAAGAAUACAAUGUGGUACCGGAAG
rnacentral:lncRNA from 1 species